rnacentral:rRNA from 1 species
UACGUAGGGGGCUAGCGUUGUCCGGAAUUAUUGGGCGUAAAGCGCGUGUAGGCGGCUCGGUAAGUCUGCUGUGAAAGUCCAGGGCUCAACCCUGGGAUGCCGGUGGAUACUGUCGAGCUCGAGUCCGGAAGAGGCGAGUGGAAUUCCUGGUGUAGCGGUGAAAUGCGCAGAUAAUCAGGAGGAACACCAAUGGCGAAGGCAG